GCGGGUGUAGCUCAAUGGUAGAGCACCGGCCUUCCAAGCCGGCUAUGUGAGUUCGAUUCUCAUCACCCGCUCCA
rnacentral:tRNA from 3 species